AUGAGGAAGGGGUGUGUGGGGGGAGUGCCAGGUCAGAGGCCACCCCAGGGCAGGCACCUGCUUUCUCAGUCCUGGCUGGAGUCCAGCUGGGCUCUUGGCUCCUGCUACAAGCACAGCCCACAGUGCAAACCCAGGCUGACUGCUGACCACAGAGCAGCAGCGGAAGGGAGACCAAGGGAAGCUCCACUGGCAGCCACAGGUGCUAGCCCCAGUGGGUGUAAUUGUGCUGCCACAAGAACCACACAAAGGAUCCGUGCAGUCCUCAGUGUGACUCCACAGCAGUGACCCUCACCAGGGAAUCCCGGGUGCAGCCUCCCACGUGGACUGCCCAGAGUCCCCUGCACACCCUGAGCCCUCCCAAGCAGCCACAGCGUUUUCACAGUCCUGGCACACCAGCUCCCACAGUCGGGACCCCCCAGCCCCUGUCAGUUUUCCCAUCCAGACUCAGGCAUCUCUGCUCAGCUGCUUUCUGGGCACAGGGGAAUGAGCGUCUCAGCUGUUACUCUGUCCAGAAUGGCACCCACCUUCCCUCAGCUUGUUACAGGACGCUGAUGCAGGGUGGUCGGGAGAGAGAAACGUGCCCCCAUUUUUUACCCUCUACUUUGGCAUUCCCACCAGACUUCCCACAGCUGUAACUCCAGUGGCUUGGGCUGCUACAGACUGGUCUCCCCUCACUCCAGAGCUGGUCUGAGCUUCUCAGCUGCUGGGGUCCUGAGUUGUGCAUGUCCACACCCUCCACACAGGUGCACAGUGUCCCUUCAAAUAGCACGAAGUUUGCUCUGCCAUUUUCUCCUGAACUCUUCCCUGAGACUGCACUCUCUCCACUUUUUGUUACACUCUCUUCUCCUUGACUAGAGCAGUAAGCUCCCUCCCUAUUCUGCCAUCUUGGAUCUCUCUGUCCGUCUGUAUCUUUUUUGAAAAAAUAUUUGUUUAUUUGAAUGUCAGAGUUACAGAGAGAGAGAGAGAGAGAGAGAGAGAGAGAGGUCUUCCACCUGCUGGCUCACUCCCCCAGAUGGCUGCAGUGGCAGUGGCUGGCCCAGGACCAAGCCAAAAACCAGGAACAUCACCGGAGUCUCCUAUGAGGGUACAAGGGACCAAGCACUUGGGCCAUGCCCUACUGCUUUUCACAGGCCAUUAGCAGGGAGCUGGAUGAGAAGUGGGACAGCCAGGAGUUGAACUGGUGGCCACAGGGGAUGCCAGCAUCCCAGGCAGAGACUCGGCCUGCUACGCCAUAACGUCAGCACCAUUUGUUUUUACUGACAAAGUUAUGAAAUUAAACAUACUU
rnacentral:lncRNA from 1 species